UUAAAACACACAGCGCUAAGGGGAGCAAACAUAUUAAGAACAGUAUGCCACUUUUCGGCCGCGGAGCGCGACUUGGGCUCAGUCCAGUUCAGGAUGCUUACAAACUUCAGGGCUGGUGCUGCUGGAGAGACACAAUUGUGCCGGAAAGAAGCUUUUCAAGUAGAUAAGGUGUAUGUGAACAGCUUUUGUUCCACGGCCCCAGCCUCCUGCCUGACACAGUAACCCUACUGUGUAUUCUGUACUUAAGGCCGUUUUGUCCACUGUGCUUCAAUUUACAAAGCUAUUUUAAAAUCCCAUUCUUUUGACUGUUGUAAAGAUUAUUUGUUACCAAGUAUUCUUUUAAAAUCCUGGUUUUAUAUGCUUACAGAUUUUUCUAAAAUGCUGUAUGUAGAACACUUUAAUGAUUAAAUGUGACCCUUUUGAU